UACAGAGGUGGCAAGCGUUGUUCGGAAUUACUUGGCGUAAAGGGCGCGUAGGCGGUUCGUUAAGUCCUGUGUGAAAUCCCCCGGCUCAACUGGGGAACUGCACAGGAAACUAGCGGGCUUGAGUUCGGGAGAGGGAAGCGGAAUUCCGGGUGUAGCGGUGAAAUGCGUAGAUAUCCGGAGGAACACCGGUGGCGAAGGCGGCUUCCUGGACCGACACUGACGCUGAGGCGCGAAAGCUAGGGGAGCAAACGGG
rnacentral:rRNA from 1 species